rnacentral:lncRNA from 1 species
UAUUUAAUAUUUUCCUAACCAGAAACUGAAGCAAAGGUUGCUAAUAAAUGAAUUUUGGAAAAAAUUAUAUUAUUUGUCUGGCCUUUCUCACGUAUAAGAGUGGCCUCCCUUGAAGCCAGGUGCUCGUGGCCAGGCUUUGUUAUUGGUGACGCGGCUGUCAACAUAGCAUGUGAAAACGAAAGUAGAUUGUUUAUCUAGGAAUUAUUACAACAUUUUACCCUUCUACGUUGAAUUUUGAAGGUAAGUAGAUAAGAUUAAAAUUAGAUUGAAAUUAUAAAGGCUAGUAGUGCAGUUUCUUAUUAUUAUUGACAUAUUGUGAUGUCUUGCACUAAUCAGUGUUUGUUUUGUAUUAUAUUUCAGAUAUAAAUAUUGAGAUGAUUACUUAGUUACUUCAAUUGGUCAGUGGUCAAAAGGUAUGUCUUUUUGAUAAUUGUAAAAAUUUUCUUGCACACUUUUUCUUAUGAUAAUAAUACGCUUCCCUUGAGUUAAUCUCCACAGUUCUUACCAUCUAUCUACUUUGUUUUUACUGAAAGCAUAAACACUUUAAAAUAACUAUUCUAUAUUCUGUUUAUACAGGGUUGCUGUGUAUCACAUGAUCUUUUUGAAAUUUCUGUGAUCUAUAUUUUCCAGAGUAAAAGAAAAUGUUUGGCAUAUUUAUGCAAGAGUAACACCAGAUCAACUGAGACCCAAAAUAUAGUUGUGGUGUGUGACUUUCUUUUUCUCAUGACACAAUGAAAGAUCAGCUGCUGUGGAAUGCCAGUCAUACACAUGUACCUGCCAGAACAUUACCUUUUAAUUCAAGAAAGUUUUAAAUAAAUUUUGUGGCUUUAUAUCUAUAAACCUGAGGUCAUAUUCAUAAAGCUUCUAAGAUUAUUUUCAUCUAAGAUAUACAGUAUUUUGUUAGAGACCUGAAGUUGAAAUAUUUUCUAAUUUAAAAUAUGAGAAACAUUAUGAAUAUGACCUCUGUAAUUAAAUAAAUUGAUGAAAUAUUUGUUAUGUCAUAAAAUAUUAUUUGACUUUUUUAUUUCAGGGAGUAUUUCUGUGUGUCUUGAAGCAUUGAAUGCCCCAAAACAAACAGCAUGAUAAGAAGACCAGAGUAUACAGUUUCCCAAAAUGUUGAAAGACUAAGCUGUUUUUCUAUGGACUUGUAUACUAUUUAGGUUGAAAACAGCCAUGGACAAUGAAUUUGGAGGUGCAUGCUGGAGCUUCAGAAAUUACAGACUUGGAAUGAACAAUUGCACAAUACACAUUUCCUGAGAAGUGACUAAUGUUUAUGUUAAAGUGCAAUAUCCAUGUUUGUAACAUUUACUUGUGGGUAAUAGUUACAGUGUUGUAAGAGACUACCAGUGUUACAUUUCAAUCUAAGUUACAGUGUGGAUGCUAAUUCUAAAUUCUUGAUAAUCUAGUGUUUUUAAUAACUUAUGAAUACUAAUUAUUUAUCAGACUGUUUAAUUUAUCACAUUCCUACAUCAUUAUUUUAUAUAAAAUGCUUGUAGCUAUAUAAUAUAUGUCAGGUUAAAUGGUAAUAAACUUUGUUUCUGUGUAAA